rnacentral:lncRNA from 1 species
UCCGCCGUUUUAAACCCCGUCGCUACCCUAACGGCAGCAAACGCCGUCUCUUUCGUGUUUCCCUUACCGUGUAGGUUACGUUUCCUCUGCUCUAACUCCUCUUUGUAUGUAUGUUUUCUCAACAUGUCAACGAUCUCAGCUUUCGAAUGUGCGUUCAAGAACUCGACUUCGUCUCCGUUACCUAACGUCGUGUCGGCCUUGAAGUUCGUGACGGCGUCACGGCCGCGGAAACGGUGAGCUGCGACGUCGUAAGCACGAGCAGCUUCUUCUUCUUCGUUGAAAGUGCCG